GAGUUUGAUCCUGGCUCAGAACGAACGCUGGCGGCGUGCUUAACACAUGCAAGUCGAACGCGAAAGGGACUUCGGUCCUGAGUAAAGUGGCGCACGGGUGAGUAACGCGUGGAUAAUCUACCCGACGGACCGGGAUAACAUUUCGAAAGGGGUGCUAAUACCGGAUAAGACCACGGCUUCUUAGGGGGCUGCGGUAAAAGGUGGGGACCUUCGGGCCUACCGUCAUCGGAUGAGUCCGCGUACCAUUAGCUAGUUGGUAGGGUAAGGGCCUACCAAGGCGACGAUGGUUAGCUGGUCUGAGAGGAUGAUCAGCCACACUGGAACUGAGACACGGUCCAGACUCCUACGGGAGGCAGCAGUGGGGAAUUUUGCGCAAUGGGGGAAACCCUGACGCACCAACGCCGCGUGAGUGAUGAAGGCCUUCGGGUUGUAAAGUUCUUUAAACAGGGAAGAUGGGGUGUAAUGCUAACAUCAUUAUACCUUGACGUUGUACCUGUAGAAUAAGCUCCGGCUAACUCCGUGCCAGCAGCCGCGGUAAUACUGAGGGAGCAAGCGUUGUCCGGAAUCACUGGGCGUAAAGGGAAUGUAGGUGGAUAGGUUAGUUGGAUGUGAA
rnacentral:rRNA from 1 species